UGGGGAAUAUUGGACAAUGGGCGCAAGCCUGAUCCAGCCAUACCGCGUGGGUGAAGAAGGCCUUCGGGUUGUAAAGCCCUUUUGUUGGGAAAGAAAUCCAGCUGGUUAAUACCCGGUUGGGAUGACGGUACCCAAAGAAUAAGCACCGGCUAACUUCGUGCCAGCAGCCGCGGUAAUACGAAGGGUGCAAGCGUUACUCGGAAUUACUGGGCGUAAAGCGUGCGUAGGUGGUCGUUUAAGUCUGUUGUGAAAGCCCUGGGCUCAACCUGGGAACUGCAGUGGAAACUGGACGACUAGAGUGUGGUAGAGGGUAGCGGAAUUCCUGGUGUAGCAGUGAAAUGCGUAGAGAUCAGGAGGAACAUCCAUGGCGAAGGCAGCUACCUGGACCAACACUGACACUGAGGCACGAAAGCGUGGGGAGCAAACAGGAUUAGAUACCCUGGUAGUCCACGCCCUAAACGAUGCGAACUGGAUGUUGGGUGCAAUUUUGGCACGCAGUAUCGAAGCUAACGCGUUAAGUUCGCCGCCUGGGGAGUACGGUCGCAA
rnacentral:rRNA from 1 species